rnacentral:lncRNA from 1 species
CAGGGCCUUCAACAGCACCCGGAGCUCACGGAUCACCAUCAUGCCACGAGCAAAUGGCAAAAAUUCAGGAAGGAAAAAUAAAGUGCUUCCUGCUGCUGAAGGAGGGGUGAAGCCCACUACUGCGGCCCAAACAGCACUCAACAGCACUGCGUCCAGAGCCAGUGCAGAUGUUAUCGUCCCCAAUCUGACCGGUCGAAAUUUCAAAAAGUCCCUCCCACCACAGAACAAGAAGACCAACAAAAGAGUGUGUUUCUGGAAGUACUGCUCCCAGAACUGAUCGUAUCUCAGCCAGCGUUGACCUCUCCCACUUUACUCUCCCACUUCUUCUUCCAUCCAUCCAUCAAUUCAUCCUCAUAUAUAAUGAUACUGCAGAUAAACCCCCAA